GAUGAACGCUGGCGGAGUGCCUAAUACAUGCAAGUCGAGCGGACAGACGAGGAGGUUGCUCCUUUACCGUUGGCGGCGGGCGGGUGAGUCGCAAGUGGAUAACCUACCUAUACGACAGAGAUAAAUUAGAGAAACCGGAACUACUACCAGAGAAAUUAAUGAACAGAGUGGUGCAAUGAAGAAAGACGGUUUUGGUGUGCCUUAUAGAUGGAUCCGCGGCGCAUUAGCUAGUGGGUAAGGUAGCGGACUACCAAGGGAACGCUGCCUAGCCGACCUGAGAGGGUGAGCGGCCACACCUGAACUGAGGCACGGUCCCGAGUCCUACGGGAUGCAGCCGUAGCUAAUCUGCCGCAAUGGGCGGAAGCAUAACGGAGCAACGCCGCGUGAGUGAUGAAGGUCUUCGGAUCGUAAGACUCUGGUAUUAGGGUAGAACAAUUGUGUAAGUAACUAUGCACGUCUUGACGGUACCUAAUCAAGAAGCCACGGCUAACUACGUG
rnacentral:rRNA from 1 species